UACAGAUGCUGUGCUGCUAUCACAGGUGUCCAUCACCAUGUGUGACGCUAGUGACAUUGUCCAGACGUCACAGGAUCCCAGAGUGAUGAUGUGUGAAGGGUUUUCCAAGGUCGUCUACUUCUUUUUUUGAAAACUUUAAAGACAUUGGGCCUGAAAGGUUCAGUGACUUGUCCAGGGAAACCCAGUUUGUUUGUGACAGUUCACUCUCUCACAGCUGAGCCACAGUUCUCUACACUCCCAGGAGCCACAGAAAGUGAACAUCCCUCAGGUCCCAGUGUCAUUCAGGGACGUGACUGUGGAGUUCACCAGGAGGAGUGGCAGCAGGUGGGCCCUGUACAGAGAUGUGAUGAGGCUGGAGAGCUACAGCCA